GAGCCAGGCUAACCCCCUGCUGCUGCAGGCAAAGCAUAGCUUGUUAGCUCAGCAAGCAAGCAACAUGUCGGUAAAGGAUAUUUGCCGUUUGUGUAACGAGAAUUUACGAAUAAAAGGCACCAUUUCA